CCAGGUUGGAGUGCAGUGGCAUGAUCAGAGCUUGCUGCAGCCUCAGCCUCCUGGGCUCAAGUGAUCCUUAUGCCUCAGCCUCCUGAGUAGCUAGGACUAUGGGCACACGCCACCACUCCUGGCUAAUUUUUAAAGUUUUUGUUGAGAUGGAGUCUUGCUAUGUUGCUCAGGCUGGUCUCAAACUCCUGGCCUCAAGCAAUCUUCCCGCCUUGGCCUCCCUAAGUGCUGGGUUCACAGGUGUGAGCCACCGUGCCCAGCCUACCUGGGAUUACAGGCAUGAGCCACGAUGCCCAGCCGACUAAUUCAGUUUCUGAGGACCCCACCCUCAUGAUCUAAUCGUCUCCAAAGGCUCCACUUCUAAACACCAUCGCACUUGGGGUUAAGACUUUGACACAUGAAUUUUGGGGGCACAUUCAGACCAUAGCAAACCCUUAGCUCGGGAUCCGUGCUUGAUACGUGUUAAUGAUUUUGAACUUCAUUAAGAUGAAAAUAAGAGAAGACGCGAUGAAGGCAGCUGUCACUGGUCUCGGUGUUCACUGUCCUGGGAUCUGCCCAGCCGAGGGGCUUCAUUACUCAUCGGAGAGAAAAUGUGCCUGCGUUCACCUGGCUGUCUUCUCCUAAAGGCAUCUGUCCUGUGGGAUCAGGGACCCAGCCUACUACAGGAGGACCUCAUUGUAACUA
rnacentral:lncRNA from 1 species